UCUCCUUCACGAACAACGACCGACGGCGGCGGGCUUCCAUCUCCGGCAUGAUCCUUCUGUUCGACAUCGUAAUCAGAAGCGAAUAUCUCUUCCUCCGAUCUCAUCCCUCGCCUCUCAGUUCUCUCGGUAUAGUUUUGGAUCGCGUUGAAACGAUUGUGAUGUUGAUCGAUGCGAUUUGCAGGAGUAUUGAUGCGUUCUUGGUGCGUCGAACGUGUUGUUGUUGAUUAUUGCAGAUGGAGGUGCGUUGCGAGGCGUGUGGCGAAGAUGUGCGUGAGGAGCUAUCGCGUAUUUGAAAUCAGUGAUGAUGAUGAUGAUGUCAAAGCAUGGACGAAAGUUGGAGAUAAAAGAAUCCCGGAAGAGCCUUCAUUCAGGUCUUUGGUUUACUUUGAAUCCAUGCAGCAUUUCUGUCGUGAACUGGAUAUACCCCUGAACUGUGAUGGCUUUGGAAUGGCGCUUCAAAUGGAUUUGGCUCGGCUGCGAUCUUGAGUGUGGACUGGAAUGCUGAAUGCUAGCAUGAAUUUUAUUGGCGAAAAGGUAUGCUGAAUGAUGACUUGUAUGUUGCUGUAGAUCUGGUAUACUGAUACAUAUGACGGCUGUAGGACAAGGCCUUGUGAUUUUCAUUCGAGCCACGUUGGAUGCAUGAUGCCCGAGCCACCAUUGGUUCUUGACAGAGUCUUCGAGAUGCCGACUUACUAAAAUGGGCUGGUUUAAAGACGCGGGUAGCAACGGUCUCGAAUUGUAUGGAAGCUGUGGUCUUUUGUAAUGCCAUUUUGUGAUGAAUUGUAUUGUUAUUUUUGAUGAAUGUAAUGGAAAUAUGUAAUAUUUUUUAUCCUUGAAUGGACUUAAACUUUGUAUGAAUAAUGAAAUGUAGCUGAAUGGAAUGUUAGUUUGAAUGAUGUAAU